UAUAAGCACACUGGUGAACACCCGCUGUGUUCAACUUCACAUUCACUAUACAAUUCACAUAUAUUUCAUACUUCCUUUAAGUACUAAUCAGAGAGAUUUUUGGGUCAUGGCUUUAUUUCUUUCGGAUGUCACAUCAGGGCUGGGAAACACCGUGACAUGGAGUGUAUAUAGGUUGGGAUACAAGCAAGAAAAGGCAGAUGCAUGUAAAUACAGUGCUGACCAUGGUAAUAGGAAACCUUGGUCAAUUUUUUAAGGGAAGUCUUUGAGGAGGUGAACAAUACUGUAAAGAUUUGCACUUCGAGUCAAAAUGAAUAGGUAGGGUUCUUCUAAAGGGGAGAGGGGGUAAUGUGGUUGGCCGAGCCAACAACUGAGAGUGUGUUAGCGGCGAGGGUGUAAAAUUGAAAAGAAAUGUGUGCUACUCAACCUCAGUAGAGGAAUGUGAGGUCACGCUGUGUGUCGGCUAGUUUAGGUUCCUUUUUUCAUGUGAGUGGCCUGGACGACAUGGGGAGGGGCGAUUAUCUGCUCCACUGGAGAUAAUCCACUGGAGAACAGAUAAUCCCUCUCCCUCCCCCGCUGUCCAGGCCCCUUCCAUGAAUAAAGGAACCUACAGUGACAUGUCGACCGGCUGACACACGGCUUGACCCGACAUUCUUCCACUGAUGUUGAGUAGCACACCUUUCUCCAAUUCUACACCAUCGCCGCUAACACGCCUUCUGUCAUUGCCUCGUCCACCUGCCUUACCCCCUCACCCUUUUAGAAGAACCGUUCCUAUAUAUAAUGUGCCGAGGAAAGCAUAUGUCGCCUUGAAAAAUACAAGUCCGCUUAUCAAAAUGUUGGCCGCUACUUUUACCUUGUUCUCAUUUAGCUCAUCAUCUUGCAUUUAGCAUAUCCUCACGUAAUGUCAUUCAUUGUGGUGUGCCUUUGCACGACUGGCUGUGCACACAAGGUUUUCCAAAUAAAAAUGCUGUUGUAUUUAUGAUAGCCUCAUGCAAUGCGAUUCUACUGCCCUUCCACGUGACGUAACUCAUUCCACUUCCAUAACCUGAAAGUUCGUAAACACCUUUAAAGGGACAUUAAAGGCAAAAAAAAAAAAAAAGCUCGCCAUCCCAACUUUGCGAAAGUGGAUGGCCAGUGAAGCUGUUAGAAAACCGCUCAAAUGCUGUCGAUGGGGAUAUGAAAGGUUUUAUUGCUCUGCCUAGUCUUAGCACGAUACCACUGUUGACCAUUACGAUUUUGCACUCUUUGACGCUCAUCGCAUUCACGCUGCUCUUGGCGUGGUCUACCUACAGCGGUCUUGCAAUGAAAUCGAAUGAGUUACUAGACAGGUCUCCCUUUUAUAUAUAAAGUUUGGUGACGUCACUCACCGAUUCGUAUGCUGCUGUUGCCCCUUUUCCACCGGAGCAGCUUAUGCAACUGUAACCUUUACCAGAAACACAUGAGAGAGAAGGAACGUGCCUCGCAUUGUUCACAGGCGCCUUAUCAUCCAUCAUGCGGUUUUCACACUUGUUUUGUGUUUUUCUUUAUUGAAAUGAAUGCGGAGCCGUGUGUUAUCUGCCUGAUUCCAAAGGAGAUUCCAAAGGACUUUUUUUCGGUUCAAUUCCUUUUUUUUUUUUUCUGACGGACAUGAAAAAUCUCGACCCAACUAGAGGCUAACAGCUUCGCUUUAAAAUCAACUUCUCAGAGUUGGGAAGCACCAAUUUUGCUGAAAACAGACCUUUGCUAAGUGAGCAACCAUAAACAUAUGACCGCAUUGUCACCACCACUAUGAAUAUGUCAAGCCAGCUUUCUUUUAACAGUCUUCAGUCCUGUUAUAAAGCGAUGAAAAUUAAAUAUUGGGUUUCACAUGCCAAAACCAUGAUCUGACUGAGGCACGCCGUAGUGGGGGACUCCAGAAUAAUUUUUAAAACCCGAGGAUCUUAACAUGCACCUAAAUAUAAGUACACCAGCAUCUUUGCAUUUCACCCCCAUUGAAAUGCAGCUGCGGCAGCCGGGAUGAACCUUCCACUUGAGCUCGGCAGCACAACACCGUAGCCACUAUAAGCUACCGCGACAGGUCAAAGUGACAACUAGAAGUCAACAACAAUGGAUUUGAACAGGAAAGGUAAUGGAUAUGGCAAAUUCUAUUGGAUUUUCCUACAGGACCACUCACAAGGCUCCCUCUUCACAUCAGUCCAUUCAGUGAAGUUUGGUGUCCUUCGUGUAAACCCUACGAGUCGCUGCAGGCAGUAAUACCUACACAGUCCACCAUGACCUCUGCGAUUGCCAGCAAGUAGCAAAAAUAUCUCUUUUCACUGGUAAUCUGAUGUCCUCAGUUUGUAGCUUUCUCAGUGAUUAAGUAAUCACUUAGCAGAGUGCAGUGCGAUUUUUACAACUCUAGCUUAAUAUUUGCACAUAGUGUCCCUUUUACAUUGCUGGUAUUGGCAAACCCUUUGAAAUCACUCGCUGCAAAUGCCUCAAUCACAUUGUUUUGCAUUCAAUAGGCAUAAUGUCUUUUAAAUGCAAUGUAUACAAACAGGCUAUAUUGGCAUGCUGCUUGCCCUAAAGAUGAGCUAUGAAACAAAGCAAUGGAUGGGCAAUCAAGACGAGGGUCUCGUGGGAUUGAGCAACAUGUGCUAUUUCAGUAAUGGCAACCACUGAGACUCUGUGCUAGUAGUUCCGAUAGGAGGGCGAUCCGGAAAGUCUUUGCCCUUAUUUUUUAUUACUGGAAAUAAGGUACAUGCAGGUAAUUACAUAUAUACAUACUAUUUUACAUACCUUACACUAUUUUUUCACAUAGUCCCCACACUGGUUCAGACCAUUUGUCCCAUCGCAGCACUAAAUCCGAGAUGCCCGUGGUAGAAUUCACGGCACGCGGUCUCCCCGAACGCUCAUUGUCAUGCAAGUCCUUGUGGCCUUUUGCAAACUCGCAAAGCAAGACACCUUUCUCCAUACGUGGGCUGCAUUUCCCUGUGGAUUUUGAUGGACAUUCAACCCUGGCUCACAGAAAACGAACUGCACUUCGUUGCUCGUUUGCCAUGGAUGUGUGAAGCACAACUGCCAUCUUCAACAACUGACAGCAGUGCCGUGCCGUGGAGCUACCAGGCGAUAAGGCCGGACCAGUCCAAGAAAAGUCCACCGCCAGGAAUGGAUAUGUUUUCACAUUUACAGCCAUAAUUUGACUAAAAAAAAUAGGGGCGAAGGCUUUCUGAUUCGUCCAUGUAUAUGGUUACAACAGCCGUCCCUGUAAGAGGUCAUGCUUAAACAUUUCCUUUAACUGCUUUCCUGACACUCUAAGCAGUGUGGAAAUGGACAAAGACUUUGGGAAAACACUGGAACAGAUGUCUUUACAAUACAUAUCUACCAACUUGCAUGCUUCACCAUCCUUACUUUCACAGCUGACAUGACUUAUGCAAGUAUACUGCAGUGCUAAGCAAGCAUAGCCUUGUGUGUAGAGAAUGCCUUGUAAAUGAAUGUUUAUGCACAAGCACGCACACAUAUUUUGUAGUCCCUGACCAACAAAUGCCUCCCACAGAGUCAUUUCUGCAGAGUAAUGAACUGCUGUUCUAGUGGACAUCUUGUUAAAGGAGUACUGAAAUCAUAUUUUUGACUCGUUUCUUGCAUUAAAUGAAUGUCUGGGACUUCUAAAACCUAAAAAAAUACUUGCAAGCAUCACAGCACCUUAAUUAAUUUAAUAUAAUAGCUUUUCUACAGCAAGUAUCGCUUUCGUUUCUACUGUCAUGAUGGAGAAGGUAGUUGCAUGGCAGCAGGACAUUGCGAUGUGUUAGUAUUCACCCCGGCUCGCUCGGUCAUCUGUUAUGCUGUUAAAUUGACCUUGCAAGUAGCAACAUAGGAGGCGACUGAGCGAGCCAGUGUUUGUGUCGAAACAUCAAUGUCCUGUGCCCACAUCUCUACCUUCUGUGUCACAACACAGUAGAAAUGAGCCCGAAACUGGCUGUAGAAAACAUUUUAUUCGGUUACUUAAGGAUGAUCCAAGGCUUGCAAGUACUUUUCCUAGGGUAUAGAGUGGUCUGAGGCAUUCAUUUAAUGCAAGAUAAUUUGUAGUGAGAAAUAUCACAUCGGUACUUCUUUAAUAGAAACAAUGAUGUGUUCCUCACGGUCGCUACAUUUUUCGUUCUUCCAAGCGAACGUUGCAGCUUUACCCCGUCUAAAGCGGGAACUCCACAAGAUGACACCAACAUCGUCUCCUUCUAGUGUAUAUUUCUCUGGCAAACUAGUGUUGAUAUGCUGGUAGAUAUACAGUCAAGUAGACUGAAACAAAGAGGGCAUGCUUUCACAACUGUUUGCACGCAAUCAUUGCACACUGGCAUUCUGUCAUUAUGUGCUUGCAAGUGGAGGCUUCAGAAAAAAGGAAGCAACAGUGGCACCUCCAACGCCCUGUAAUCGCUACUGCUUCUGUUGCCAACAUCCACUGCAGACAAUACCGGUUGAGAGGGAGGAGCUUGUGUCAAGCAUUCAAAUAAGUACACGUUUACCACCAAUACAAUGUUUUUCUAUACACACAGGGUGUUUUUCUUUUUUAAACUCUACAGAAUUUUAUAAAAUCACUUGUUGCAGAUUGCAGAAUUGUAGACCUUGAGCUGGGUUACUAGAAGCAGUGGACACCACUAGAAUGAGAAAUCGACAUGUAUGAUCUAUUAAUUAACAUGUAUUAAUGAACUAAUUAUCUUACGGAAUACAUUUUGCAAUUUGCACAUUGUAGCUACAGAGUUUGAAAGGCAUAUUCAUUUGGAAUGACUUCUAAGGAUCGCACGGGUUUUGAGAAAUGCACAGUGAAACUUGAUUUAAGAUUUCACUAUUCUUCUACUUAAUUUUUUAACAAAGUGCCAUAUUAUACUAUGAACCACAAAAGUAACUGAAAUGCCCAUGCAUUGCAUCACAUACUUUGGAAAUUGGUAUCACGAAACUGGUGUCAUCCUGGAAAUUCAUUCCAAGUGGAUACACCUUGCGAACUCACCGGCUGCAACUCGUAAAUUGCAAAAUGUGCCAUAAAAUAAUAAAGAAAUGUAAUCGGCAAUUUUUCAUUAGUUACUCGAUUACACGUUUCAAUUUCACAUACAAGUAAUGUGCACCUCUUCAAGUAAUCCAGCUGUGACCAAAAUUAUGCUAUCUGCCGCAGGCAAUCUUUUCCUUAUAAUGUAUGGUCAAAAAAGAAAAAGAGAAAGAAAAAUGUAUAAUGUGCACACAUGCAAAAAUGCAUGCAUAACCUGCAGGAAUGAAGCCAUAUAACUUUGAAGUCUUAAUAAAAGCAACCCAACACCAUUGGAAUGCACAGAGCAAAGCUCUAGAAACAAUCUUUUUGUACAUCGACCCUGUUGCUUUCUGCUCAAAUGUAGUGCAGCUUUACAGCAGUGAGCAGCACACAUUAAAUUAUUCGCUUUCAGAGCUGUUUCAUGGCAAGGCUUCACGGAAAUGUGCAAACACUACACCCAACACCAAAGUUUAACUUACUCUUUCUCACGCAUUAAUUUCUUGAAACCUCGUUUCAGGCUAUAUGGAUGGAAAAUUGGUAUCUUCUCUACUGGAGGACAAUGCAACUGUAUUCGAUAGUGUUGUUACAGGUCAGAACUCGCACUAACUAGCUUUUCAUGGGAUGUUUCCGAGCAGACACAUCAAGCUCACAACAGCUAUAAUCCUCCUCUGUGCGAGUAAAGCUUCUCUGUUGUUUGCUUCCCCCCAAAACUCCAACAAGACGUGGAGGAUAGUGAGAAUCUCGUCACAUUGCUACAGAUAGGAGGUUGAUCACCAGCCAACAGGGUCGUCCACUUUCAGAGGAUACGCACAAGUGCACAGACCCCAUACAUGGAGCACCAGUAGCGGCCACCGGGAAUACUUAAGCAGGCACGUGAAAGCUCGCCUGAUGCUGGUGCCAUAAAUUUGCUUGUAUCACAAUCUGGCCUGCACAAAGGCAGGUACUUCACGUCAUGGUAAGUAAAGCACAGGAUGUUGUCACAUGUCCUAGGAUACCUGCUUUU